rnacentral:rRNA from 1 species
AUUGAACGCUGGCGGCAUGCCUUACACAUGCAAGUCGAACGGCAGCACGGGAGCAAUCCUGGUGGCGAGUGGCGAACGGGUGAGUAAUAUAUCGGAACGUGCCCAGUCGUGGGGAUAACGUAGCGAAAGCUACGCUAAUACCGCAUACGAUCUAUGGAUGAAAGCGGGGGAUCGCAAGACCUCGCGCGAUUGGAGCGGCCGAUAUCAGAUUAGGUAGUUGGUGAGGUAAAGGCUCGCCAAGCCGACGAUCUGUAGCUGGUCUGAGAGGACGACCAGCCACACUGGGACUGAGACACGGCCCAGACUCCUACGGGAGGCAGCAGUGGGGAAUUUUUGGGACAAUGGGCGCAAGCCUGAUCCAGCAAUGCCGCGUGCAGGAUGAAGGCCUCGGUUGUAAC